GGUGAACGCUGGCGGCGUGCCUAAUACAUGCAAGUCGAGCGAACGGACGAGAAGCUUGCUUCUCUGAUGUUAGCGGCGGACGGGUGAGUAACACGUGGAUAACCUACCUAUAAGACUGGGAUAACUUCGGGAAACCGGAGCUAAUACCGGAUAAUAUUUUGAACCGCAUGGUUCAAAAGUGAAAGACGGUCUUGCUGUCACUUAUAGAUGGAUCCGCGCUGCAUUAGCUAGUUGGUAAGGUAACGGCUUACCAAGGCAACGAUGCAUAGCCGACCUGAGAGGGUGAUCGGACACACUGGAACUGAGACACGGUCCAGACUCCUACGGGAGGCAGCAGUAGGGAAUCUUCCGCAAUGGGCGAAAGCCUGACGGAGCAACGCCGCGUGAGUGAUGAAGGUCUUCGGAUCGUAAAACUCUGUUAUUAGGGAAGAACAUAUGUGUAAGUAACUGUGCACAUCUUGACGGUACCUAAUCAGAAAGCCACGGCUAACUACGUG
rnacentral:rRNA from 1 species